UUCCGCUGGACGAGGUACAUGUACCUCGUCCAGCGGAAGGGUUUCCUUCCGAUGGACGAGGUACAUGUACCUCGUCCAAGCGGAA
rnacentral:miRNA from 1 species